UAAGGAAUAUUGGUCAAUGGAGGCAACUCUGAACCAGCCAUGCCGCGUGCAGGAUGAAGGCCCUCUGGGUUGUAAACUGCUUUUAUCAGGGAAGAAAUCACCUAUUUCUAUGGGUGUUGCCGGUACCUGAGGAAUAAGCACCGGCUAACUCCGUGCCAGCAGCCGCGGUAAUACGGAGGGUGCAAGCGUUAUCCGGAUUUACUGGGUUUAAAGGGUGCGUAGGCGGGACUUUAAGUCAGCGGUGAAAGCUCCAAGCUUAACUUGGAAAUUGCCGUUGAUACUAUUGUUCUUGAAUUCGGUUGAGGUUGGCGGAAUGUGUCGUGUAGCGGUGAAAUGCUUAGAUAUGACACAGAACACCGAUUGCGAAGGCAGCUAGCUAAACCGAUAUUGACGCUGAGGCACGAAAGGGUGGGGAUCAAACAG
rnacentral:rRNA from 1 species